AUUGAACGCUGGCGGCAGGCCUAACACAUGCAAGUCGAGCGGAUGAAGGGAGCUUGCUCCUGGAUGCAGCGGCGGACGGGUGAGUAAUGCCUAGGAAGCUGCCUGGUAGUGGGGGAUAACGUCCGGAAACGGGCGCGAAUACCGCAUACGUCCUGAUGGAGAAAGGGGGGGAUCUUCGGACCUCACGCUAUCAGAUGAGCCUAGGUCGGAUUAGCUAGUUGGUGGGGUAAAGGCCUACCAAGGCGACGAUCCGUAACUGGUCUGAGAGGAUGAUCAGCCACACUGGAACUGAGACACGGUCCAGACUCCUACGGGAGGCAGCAGUGGGGAAUAUUCCACAAUGGGCGAAAGCCUGAUCCAGCCAUGCCGCGUGUGUGAAGAAGGUCUUCGGAUUGUAAAGCACUUUAAGUUGGGAGGAACAGCAGUAAGUUAAUCCCUUGCUGUUUUGACGUUACCAACAGAAUAAGCACCGGCUAACUUCGUG
rnacentral:rRNA from 1 species